AUUAACGCUGGCGGCGUGCCUAACCCAUGCAAGUCGAGCGGCAGCGAGUUUUACACUGAAUUCUGGAAGCUUCUAGUUGAAAGAGAAGAUUUAUUCAAGAAUUUUGUGUAAAAUGUCGGCGAGCGGCGGACGGCUGAGUAACGCGUGGGAACGUACCCCAAAGUGAGGGAUAACGCAUCGAAAGGUGUGCUAAUACCGCAUAUGGUCUUCGGAUUAAAGCCUUCGGGCGCUUUGGGAACGGCCUGCGUAAGAUUAGAUAGUUGGUGGGGUAAUGGCCUACCAAGUCGACGAUCUUUAACUGGUUUGAGAGGAUGAUCAGUCAGACUGGAACUGAGACACGGUCCAGACUCCUACGGGAGGCAGCAGUGAGGAAUCUUCCACAAUGGGCGAAAGCCUGAUGGAGCAACGCCGCGUGCAGGAUGAAGGCCUUCGGGUUGUAAACUGCUUUUAUAAGUGAGGAUUAUGACAGUAACUUAUGAAUAAGGAUCGGCUAACUACGUG
rnacentral:rRNA from 1 species